rnacentral:rRNA from 1 species
UACAGAGGGUGCAAGCGUUGCUCGGAAUUACUGGGCGUAAAGCGUGUGUAGGCGGUCUUGUAAGUCGGGUGUGAAAGCCCUAGGCUCAACCUAGGAACUGCGCCCGAUACUGUGAGACUUGAGUGUCGGAGAGGAUAGUGGAAUUCCCAGUGUAGAGGUGAAAUUCGUAGAUAUUGGGAGGAACACCAGUGGCGAAGGCGGCUAUCUGGACGAACACUGACGCUGAGACACGAAAGCGUGGGGAGCAAACAGG